GACGAACGCUGGCGGCGUGCCUAAUACAUGCAAGUAGAACGCUGAAGGAGGAGCUUGCUUCUCUGGAUGAGUUGCGAACGGGUGAGUAACGCGUAGGUAACCUGCCUGGUAGCGGGGGAUAACUAUUGGAAACGAUAGCUAAUACCGCAUAAUAGCAGUUGUUGCAUGACAACUGUUUGAAAGGUGCAAUUGUACCACUACCAGAUGGACCUGCGUUGUAUUAGCUAGUUGGUGGGGUAACGGCUCACCAAGGCGACGAUUGCUAAUCGACCCGGGAGGGGGGUCGGCCCACCUGGGACUGGAGCACGGCCCAACCCCCUUCGGGGGGCCGCCGUAGGGGAUCUUUGGCCAUGGGCGGAAGUCUGACCGGGCAACGCCGCGUGAGUGAAGGAGGUUUUCGGGUCGUAAAGCUCUUUUUUAAAGGAAGAACGAUUGUGGUAGUGGAAAGUGCACACUGUGACGGUAUCUUACCAGAAAGCGACGGCUAACUACGUG
rnacentral:rRNA from 1 species